GUAGGUGGCAAGCGUUGUCCGGAAUUAUUGGGCGUAAAGCGCGCGCAGGCGGUUUUUUAAGUCUGAUGUGAAAGCCCACGGCCCAACCGUGGAGGGUCAUUGGAAACUGGAGAACUUGAGUACAGAAGAGGAAAGCGGAAUUCCACGUGUAGCGGUGAAAUGCGUAGAGAUGUGGAGGAACACCAGUGGCGAAGGCGGCUUUCUGGUCUGUAACUGACGCUGAGGCGCGAAAGCGUGGGGAGCAAACAGGGAUUAGAUACCCUGGUAGUCCACGCCGUAAACGAUGAGUGCUAAGUGUUAGGGGGUUUCCCGCCCCUUAGUGCUGCAGCUAACGCAUUAAGCACUCCGCCUGGGGAGUACGGCCGCAAGGCUG
rnacentral:rRNA from 1 species